CUCAGAGCUGGUCCUAAUUAUCUCAGUCUCCAUUCUCCAAUUCCCUAUAAAAUGCAAACUUUGGAAUCCCUUCUGUCGUAUAGUUGUUUCUUCAGACACUGGACAUUUCUCGAAACCAGCACGAUUCAUUACGUACCAUCAUGAGGACCAUACUUGUCAUAUGCGCUAUUGGCUUUGUGUUGAUGGUGUCAUCUCUGCAAGCCGAUGCUAAACGGUUUGUUUUGAAUGACCGUCACUUGGUUCAAGUUAAGAAUGAGCCAACUCUUGCUAGUGGCGGUGCAAAAGAUCAGUCUCAGUCUCAACCCCGGACCACAAACAAGGGUAGCAGCAACAGCGAUGCUAAAUAUGAUGAUCUUGCCGACGAUGAUGCAAACGAGACUUAUGGUAAGCAUGGACAUGGCUCUUCCGAAAGUGACUCUCACCGUUAUUUUACCGACGAUACAUUCAGGCCCCAUUAAUUAUCCACUGAUCUGGAGCCUUAAUUCAUAAAUCAAGGUCGUGGUGCAAUAUGUAAAAUAUGUAUAGCUUGUAUCUGAAGUGUUUAAUAAAGUGAACCUCAAUAGCAUGUAGCCAGAUAUCCAAAUUAUCUCAGAGGGCGCAUGUUUGAUUUCACCAGAAUCUAAUAUCUGCUUUUUACUAUGUAUGUGUGUUUGAAUUGUACCGUUUAUGCUCAUCUAUUGAUCACAUCGUGUAUCAUAUAAUAAAAACGCUAUGACUACAUGCAUGGCUAGUGUGCUUACCAUUGUGUUUA